rnacentral:rRNA from 1 species
UACGUAGGGUGCAAGCGUUAAUCGGAAUUACUGGGCGUAAAGCGUGCGCAGGCGGUUGUGUAAGACAGAUGUGAAAUCCCCGGGCUCAACCUGGGAACUGCCAUUUGUGACUGCACGGCUGGAGUGCGGCAGAGGGGGAUGGAAUUCCGCGUGUAGCAGUGAAAUGCGUAGAUAAUGCGGAGGAACACCGAUGGCGAAGGCAAUCCCCUGGGCCUGCACUGACGCUCGAUGCACGAA